UGGUAUGCGUUUAAUUUGCUAAUGCAAUUAGCUAUCACUAUUGUCUUCCUUGACUCUGUGAAGAUGUCUAGUUCUGUAAAAUCUAGCACAUCAUUUCCAUUGGCUCAGCGGUAGUGUGUGUGUCAGUUGCAUGCCAUUGGAGGAAUUCUGUGCUGUAUGCUUGCACUGCACUGAAUUCUAGAAGGCCAUACAAAAUGGUGGCAUGCCACUAAACACUAUGAUUGAUAUCAACAUGACACCCUAGACUAAAAAUUUUGACUACCUAAAAAUUUUGGAGACUUGUCAAAUGACGACAACUACUUGGAUCAAUUUUUCAAGCCUUGAGUAUCAGCUAUCCUUGCAGAUAAGACUCUGGCAGAUGCAUACGCUGUAAUCAGCCAUGACUUUGUUUUUCAGCAGAACAAUGCCCCAGUUUACUUCACCAAAUCGACAUGCCAUUGGUUUUGUGACCAUAACGUCAGUGUUUUGGACUGGCUUUCAUGCUCACUUGACGCCAGCCCAAUUGAGAACCUGUGACAAGACUUGAAGGUAGCAGCAAACGCUUGUCACCCUCGAGACAGAACUGUGAAUAGCAGUGCAGGCAGUGUGCCAUGAUAUUCCUUUAGCAAGAGUACAUGCAUUAGGUAGUAGAGAUGUUCCUUGACGAGUUGGGUCAAACUGAAAGCAAGGAAGAAACACGAAGUAUUGAGACUAACUCACACUGUCAGUUAAUUUGUCAUGACACUCUCAAUUUGGUACACAGUAUUGAACCAUCCACACUUGUGUGUGUGCUUUUUACUGGUUUUUGUAGCCUUUUCUACUAAGUACAUGUAUAAUGUUUUUGUAUCAUGUAUAUAUAGAUUUAAUGUAUAGCAUAAUGAGGCAAGUUUCUAUGCAGAAUUGUUGUGUGUUGGUUAGGUGUGCAAUUCAUGUCAUGAUACAAGAUUUUCUUUCUUUGAUCGGAACAGGACUUGUGAUGUGUGCAUAAAGCGUGUUUGUUCCAAGUGCCUUUCAAAGGUAUCUAUGCCAGCUCAUUAUGUUGAUGAAAAAUUUGUGCAACAGCAUAAGUCUAAGCCUGUUCAAAGGUCUCAAUCUUUUCAUUUAGCAAGACGGCCUAGUUUGAGACGGAGUUUCAGGAAAAAGUUUAUUCGUCCCGUUAUUGAUCAUAGGAAGAUUGAUAAUCCAGUUGCAGUGUAUGAUGAUGAGGUGGACACAUUGGGUGGGCCAAAGACAGUUGAGGUUAAUAUAUGUGCUCUGUGUCGGAAACUUCUUGGUGGUGUGGAUGGGGGAGGACAAAAAGGAUUAGGAAAUAAACUGAUGAAUUCACAGAGAUUACCAUUGACAACAGAGCUUGUAAGUAGUGACAAACAAAUCGGUCAUCUACCUGCCAUGCAGUGUGAUGGUCGUACAUCCGGCAGGACUAAACGAUCGCUUUCUCGACUGUCUCAAACUCAAGAUAGGUUCUAUAGUGAAGAGGUGUUUGUGUAAUAACGCAUUCUACUAUGAUUGACUUGAAUUGGCAUUUUGUAGGUUUAGUAGGCCUCUGUAUACUUUGCUACAGGAAUUUCUUGUAUGAUUGAUAGAUAAUAAUCAGAAAAUCAAUCAAGUAAUUGUAGUAUUGUUAUUGAUUAAUAUUUGGAUUGGAAAGUAUGUAUCGUUUAUUCAAGCAGAUUGAUAGAUUCUGAAAUAUAUACUACUUUGCAACUAUUCACAUUUUGAA